GGAUUCCACAAUCAAUUGCUCGGGUAAUAGCGCGCUUGGUCGAAGAGGACCAAGAAUACAGGAGGACUGGUCUUCGGUCAAGGGUAUACGAGUAGCUGCGCUCCCCUGCUAGAACCUCCAAACAAGCUCUCAAACUUGACUUUCAAAUGAAAAGCUUGCUGUAGUAUUAGUGGGAACUCAAGUUCAAUGAAAUGUUUGCUUCAGCCUCGUUUCAGAAGGAUAAUUAUUGCU
rnacentral:snRNA from 1 species